CAAGGUCCUACCAUGGCGGCUUCACCCUCUUCUAGGCGCUUUUUCCUUCUCUUACCGCUACUACCUUCACCGCUGGGCGCAGUGACGUGCUUCAGGGCUGGAGUAAGCCCAGAGUGUAGAACUUCUCAUGUGGCCUUGAGUAAGGCAGUGGAUAGAGCACCAGGCCUAGAGUCAGAAAAAUCCACCUUCCUUGAGUUCAAAUCUGGCGUUGGACAAGUAGUAGCUGUGUGACCCAGGGACUCGGAGCCCAUGUGCCUCGCUGAGAAAAAUCAGUAACUUGCCUUAGUUCCUGAAGGAAGAAUGGGGGUUGGGAGACAGGAUGGGGACUGUUUAAGAACCUGGAAAAGCAGUUAAUGAGGCUCUUUGAAGUUAGUUAUGUUUUGAUUUUGUCUGUGUAUCUCCCCAGUGCCUAAUUCAAUGCCUGGCACCUGGUUGGAGUUUAAUAAAUGUUGAAUUAAAUGUUUAAUGGUUGCCACAUUGUUCUAACAUG